GACGAACGCUGGCGGCGUGCUUAACACAUGCAAGUCGAACGGAAAGGCCCUGCUUUUGUGGGGUGCUCGAGUGGCGAACGGGUGAGUAACACGUGAGUAACCUGCCCUUGACUUUGGGAUAACUUCAGGAAACUGGGGCUAAUACCGGAUAGGCGCUCCUGCUUCAUGGUGGGGGUUGGAAAGUUUCGGCGGUUGGGGAUGGACUCGCGGCUUAUCAGCUUGUUGGUGGGGUAGUGGCUUACCAAGGCUUUGACGGGUAGCCGGCCUGAGAGGGGGACCGGCAACAUUGGGACUGAGAUACGGCCCAGACUCCUACGGGAGGCAGCAGUGGGGAAUAUUGCACAAUGGGCGGAAGCCUGAUGCAGCAACGCCGCGUGAGGGAUGACGGCCUUCGGGUUUUAAACCGCUUUCGCCUGUGACGAAGCGUGAGUGACGGUAAUGUGUAAAGAAGCACCGGCUAACUACGUG
rnacentral:rRNA from 1 species